rnacentral:rRNA from 1 species
AGUCGAGGGGUAACAGAAAAGCUUGCUUUUGCUGACGACCGGCGCACGGGUGCGUAACGCGUAUGCAACCUACCUCAUACUGGAGGAUAGCCCCUGGAAACGGGGAUUAAUACUCCAUAGUAUCACAAUUUCGCAUGUUAUUGUGAUUAAAGUUUUUCGGUAUGAGAUGGGCAUGCGUCCCAUUAGCUUGUUGGUGAGGUAACGGCUCACCAAGGCAACGAUGGGUAGGGGGCCUGAGAGGGUGGUCCCCCACACUGGUACUGAGACACGGACCAGACUCCUACGGGAGGCAGCAGUGAGGAAUAUUGGUCAAUGGAGGAAACUCUGAACCAGCCAUGCCGCGUGAAGGAUGACGGCCCUAUGGGUUGUAAACUUCUUUUAUAGAGGAAGAAACUUGUCUACGUGUAGACAACUGACGGUACUCUACGAAUAAGGAUCGGCUAACUCCGCGCCAGCAGCCGCGGUAAUACGGAGGAUCCAAGCGUUAUCCGGAUUCAUUGGGUUUAAAGGGUCCGUAGGCGGAUUUUUAAGUCAGUGGUGAAAGCCGACAGCUCAACUGUCGAACUGCCAUUGAUACUGGAAAUCUUGAGUACAAAUGAAGUAGGCGGAAUGAGUCAUGUAGCGGUGAAAUGCAUAGAUAUGACUCAGAACACCGAUUGCGAAGGCAGCUUACUAACAUGUAACUGACGCUGAGGGACGAAAGCGUGGGGAGCGAACAGGAUUAGAUACCCUGGUAGUCCACGCCGUAAACGAUCAUCACUCGCUGUUGGCGAUAUACUGUCAGCGGCCAAGCGAAAGU